UUAACACAUGCAAGUCGAGCGGUAAGGCCUUUCGGGGUACACGAGCGGCGAACGGGUGAGUAACACGUGGGUGAUCUGCCCUGCACUUCGGGAUAAGCCUGGGAAACUGGGUCUAAUACCGGAUAUGACCUCCUAUCGCAUGGUGGGUGGUGGAAAGAUUUAUCGGUGCAGGAUGGGCCCGCGGCCUAUCAGCUUGUUGGUGGGGUAAUGGCCUACCAAGGCGACGACGGGUAGCCGACCUGAGAGGGUGACCGGCCACACUGGGACUGAGACACGGCCCAGACUCCUACGGGAGGCAGCAGUGGGGAAUAUUGCACAAUGGGCGAAAGCCUGAUGCAGCGACGCCGCGUGAGGGAUGACGGCCUUCGGGUUGUAAACCUCUUUCAGCAGGGACGAAGCGCAAGUGACGGUACCUGCAGAAGAAGCACCGGCUAACUACGUGCCAGCAGCCGCGGUAAUACGUAGGGUGCAAGCGUUGUCCGGAAUUACUGGGCGUAAAGAGUUCGUAGGCGGUUUGUCGCGUCGUUUGUGAAAACCAGCAGCUCAACUGCUGGCUUGCAGGCGAUACGGGCAGACUUGAGUACUGCAGGGGAGACUGGAAUUCCUGGUGUAGCGGUGAAAUGCGCAGAUAUCAGGAGGAACACCGGUGGCGAAGGCGGGUCUCUGGGCAGUAACUGACGCUGAGGAACGAAAGCGUGGGUAGCGAACAGGAUUAGAUACCCUGGUAGUCCACGCCGUAAA
rnacentral:rRNA from 1 species